rnacentral:rRNA from 1 species
UACGUGGGGUGCAAGCGUUGUCCGGAAUUAUUGGGCGUAAAGAGCUCGUAGGCGGUUUGUCGCGUCUGCUGUGAAAACUGGAGGCUCAACCUCCAGCCUGCAGUGGGUACGGGCAGACUAGAGUGCGGUAGGGGAGAUUGGAAUUCCUGGUGUAGCGGUGGAAUGCGCAGAUAUCAGGAGGAACACCGAUGGCGAAGGCAGAUCUCUGGGCCGUAACUGACGCUGAGGAGCGAAAGCAUGGGGAGCGAACAGG